GGAUAUAGCUCUGUUGGAAGAGUGCUUCCCUUACAUGCACAAGGCCCUGGGUUCAAUCCCCAGCACCA
rnacentral:tRNA from 1 species